UACGUAGGGUGCAAGCGUUGUCCGGAAUUAUUGGGCGUAAAGAGCUCGUAGGCGGUUUGUUGCGUCGGCUGUGAAAUCCCGAGGCUCAACCUCGGGUCUGCAGUCGAUACGAGCAAACUAGAGUGUUGCAGGGGAGACUGGAAUUUACGGUGUAGCGGUGAAAUGCGCAGAUAUCAGGAAGAACACCUAUGGCGAAGGCAGCUCUCUGGGACGGUACUGACGCUGAGACGCGAAAGCGUGGGGAGCGAACAGG
rnacentral:rRNA from 1 species